GACGAACGCUGGCGGUGCGCCUUAUGCAUGCAAGUUGAGCGAAGCUUUUUGGUAGUUUACUACUAGAAAUGACUGAGCGGCGAACGGGUGAGUAACGCGUGAGCAAUCUACCUUAGUUACUGGGAUAGCCCGAGGAAACUCGGAUUAAUACCGGAUAUUCUUAUUUUUUCACAUGAAGUUUUAAGGAAAGGUCAGCCGAACUAAGAUGAGCUCGCGUUCUAUCAGCUAGUUGGUGGGGUAAAAGCCUACCAAGGCUACGACGGAUAGCUGGUCUGAGAGGACGAUCAGCCACACUGGGACUGAGACACGGCCCAGACUCCUACGGGAGGCUGCAGCAGGGAAUAUUGUGCAAUGAGCGAAAGCUUGACACAGCGACACCGCGUGUGGGAUGACGGUUCUAGGAUUGUAAACCACUUUCAGGAGGGAAGAAAAUGACGGUACCUCCACAAGAAGACCCGGCCAACUAUGUGCCAGCAGCCGCGGUAAUACAUAGGGGUCAAGCGUUGUCCGGAUUUAUUGGGCGUAAAGAGCUCGUAGGCGGCUCAACAAGUCGGUCGUAAAAGUUUAGGGCUCAACCCUAAAAUGUCGAUCGAUACUGUUGUGACUAGGAUACGGUAGAGGUGAAUGGAAUUCCGAGUGUAGCGGUGAAAUGCGUAGAUAUUCGGAGGAACACCAAUUGCGAAGGCAGUUCACUGGACCGUGAUCGACGCUGAGGAGCGAAAGCUAGGGGAGCAAACAGGAUUAGAUACCCUGGUAGUCCUAGCUGUAAACGAUGGAUACUAGAUGUAGGAACUGGAUUGACGGUUUCUGUAUCGUAGCUAACGCGUUAAGUAUCCCGCCUGGGGAGUACGGUCGCAAGACUAAAACUCAAAGGAAUUGACGGGACCCCGCACAAGCGGCGGAGCAUGCGGCUUAAUUCGAUGAUACCCGUAGAACCUUACCUGGACUUGACAUAUAGGGAAAAAC
rnacentral:rRNA from 1 species